GUAGGUGGCAAGCGUUGUCCGGAAUUAUUGGGCGUAAAGCGCGCGCAGGCGGUUCUUUAAGUCUGAUGUGAAAGCCCACGGCUCAACCGUGGAGGGUCAUUGGAAACUGGAGAACUUGAGUACAGAAGAGGAAAACGGAAUUCCACGUGUAGCGGUGAAAUGCGUAGAGAUGUGGAGGAACACCAGUGGCGAAGGCGGCUUUCUGGUCUGUAACUGACGCUGAGGCGCGAAAGCGUGGGGAGCAAACAGGAUUAGAUACCCUGGUAGUCCACGCCGUAAACGAUGAGUGCUAAGUGUUAGGGGGUUUCCCGCCCCCUUAGUGCUGCAGCUAACGCAUUAAGCACUCCGCCUGGGGGAGUACGGCCGCAAGGCUG
rnacentral:rRNA from 1 species